rnacentral:rRNA from 1 species
CCUACGGGAGGCAGCAGUGAGGAAUAUUGGACAAUGGGCGCAAGCCUGAUCCAGCCAUGCCGCGUGCAGGAAGACGGUCCUAUGGAUUGUAAACUGCUUUUAUACAGGAAGAAACACCUCUACGUGUAGAGACUUGACGGUACUGUAUGAAUAAGCAUCGGCUAACUCCGUGCCAGCAGCCGCGGUAAUACGGAGGAUGCAAGCGUUAUCCGGAAUCAUUGGGUUUAAAGGGUCCGUAGGCGGUUUAAUAAGUCAGUGGUGAAAGCCCAUCGCUCAACGAUGGAACGGCCAUUGAUACUGUUAAACUUGAAUUAUUAGGAAGUAACUAGAAUAUGUAGUGUAGCGGUGAAAUGCUUAGAGAUUACAUGGAAUACCAAUUGCGAAGGCAGGUUACUACUAAUAUAUUGACGCUGAUGGACGAAAGCGUGGGGAGCGAACAGGAUUAGAUACCCUGGUAGUCCACGCCGUAAACGAUGGAUACUAGCUGUUCGGAGCAAUCUGNGUGNGUAGAGAAGUAGAUAAGUAUACCACCGUCGGGUAGGUACGUUCGUCGAGAAGUAGAACGUACGAAGUAGUAGUUAGUACGGACGUAGAGACGUUAGCCGACGGACGACGACGAGGGAGGUAGG